UCCUACGGGAGGCAGCAGUGGGGAAUCUUAGACAAUGGGCGCAAGCCUGAUCUAGCCAUGCCGCGUGAGUGACGAAGGUCUUAGGAUCGUAAAGCUCUUUCGCCUGUGAAGAUAAUGACUGUAGCAGGUAAAGAAACCCCGGCUAACUCCGUGCCAGCAGCCGCGGUAAUACGGAGGGGGUUAGCGUUGUUCGGAAUUACUGGGCGUAAAGCGCACGUAGGCGGAUCAGAAAGUUGGGGGUGAAAUCCCGGGGCUCAACCCCGGAACUGCCUCCAAAACUCCUGGUCUUGAGUUCGAGAGAGGUAAGUGGAAUUCCGAGUGUAGAGGUGAAAUUCGUAGAUAUUCGGAGGAACACCAGUGGCGAAGGCGACUUACUGGCUCGAUACUGACGCUGAGGUGCGAAAGUGUGGGGAGCAAACAGGAUUAGAUACCCUGGUAGUCCACACCGUAAACGAUGAAUGCCAGACGUCGGCAAGCAUGCUUGUCGGUGUCACACCUAACGGAUUAAGCAUUCCGCCUGGGGAGUACGGUCGCAAGAUUAAAACUCAAAUGAAUUGACGG
rnacentral:rRNA from 1 species